GAUGAACGCUGGCGGCGUGCCUAAUACAUGCAAGUCGAGCGAACAGACGAGGAGCUUGCUCCUCUGACGUUAGCGGCGGACGGGUGAGUAACACGUGGAUAACCUACCUAUAAGACUGGGAUAACUUCGGGAAACCGGAGCUAAUACCGGAUAAUAUAUUGAACCGCAUGGUUCAAUAGUGAAAGACGGUUUUGCUGUCACUUAUAGAUGGAUCCGCGCCGCAUUAGCUAGUUGGUAAGGUAACGGCUUACCAAGGCAACGAUGCGUAGCCGACCUGAGAGGGUGAUCGGCCACACUGGAACUGAGACACGGUCCAGACUACUACGGGAGGCAGCAGUAGGGAAUCUUCCGCAAUGGGCGAAAGCCUGACGGAGCAACGCCGCGUGAGUGAUGAAGGUCUUCGGAUCGUAAAACUCUGUUAUUAGGGAAGAACAAAUGUGUAAGUAACUAUGCACGUCUUGACGGUACCUAAUCAGGAAGCCACGGCUAACUACGUG
rnacentral:rRNA from 1 species